rnacentral:rRNA from 1 species
UGGGGAAUUUUGGACAAUGGGGGAAACCCUGAUCCAGCCAUCCCGCGUGUGCGAUGAAGGCCUUCGGGUUGUAAAGCACUUUUGGCAGGAAAGAAACGUCAUGGGUUAAUACCCCGUGAAACUGACGGUACCUGCAGAAUAAGCACCGGCUAACUACGUGCCAGCAGCCGCGGUAAUACGUAGGGUGCAAGCGUUAAUCGGAAUUACUGGGCGUAAAGCGUGCGCAGGCGGUUCGGAAAGAAAGAUGUGAAAUCCCAGAGCUCAACUUUAGAACUGCAUUUCUAACUACCGGGCUAGAGUGUGUCAGAGGGAGGUGGAAUUCCGCGUGUAGCAGUGAAAUGCGUAGAUAUGCGGAGGAACACCGAUGGCGAAGGCAGCCUCCUGGGAUAACACUGACGCUCAUGCACGAAAGCGUGGGGAGCAAACAGG